AUCGCAUGGUGGGGGUUGGAAAGAUUUUUCGGUUUGGGAUGGGCUCGCGGCCUAUCAGCUUGUUGGUGAGGUAAUGGCUCACCAAGGCGUCGACGGGUAGCCGGCCUGAGAGGGUGACCGGCCACACUGGGACUGAGACACGGCCCAGACUCCUACGGGAGGCAGCAGUGGGGAAUAUUGCACAAUGGGCGCAAGCCUGAUGCAGCAACGCCGCGUGAGGGAUGACGGCCUUCGGGUUGUAAACCUCUUUUGGUAGGGAAGAAGCCUUCGGGUGACGGUACCUGCAGAAAAAGCGCCGGCUAACUACGUGCCAGCAGCCGCGGUAAUACGUAGGGCGCAAGCGUUAUCCGGAAUUAUUGGGCGUAAAGAGCUCGUAGGCGGUCUGUCGCGUCUGCUGUGAAAUUCCGAGGCUCAACCUCGGGCUUGCAGUGGGUACGGGCAGACUAGAGUGCGGUAGGGGAGAUUGGAAUUCCUGGUGUAGCGGUGGAAUGCGCAGAUAUCAGGAGGAACACCGAUGGCGAAGGCAGAUCUCUGGGCCGUUACUGACGCUGAGGAGCGAAAGGGUGGGGAGCAAACAGGCUUAGAUACCCUGGUAGUCCACCCCGUAAACGUUGGGAACUAGUUGUGGGGUCCUUUCCACGGAUUCCGUGACGUAGCUAACGCAUUAAGUUCCCCGCCUGGGGAGUACGGCCGCAAGGCUAAAACUCAAAGGAAUUGACGGGGACCCGCACAAGCGGCGGAGCAUGCGGAUUAAUUCGAUGCAACGCGAAGAACCUUACCAAGGCUUGACAUACACCAGAACGGGCCAGAAAUGGUCAACUCUUUGGACACUGGUGAACAGGUGGUGCAUGGUUGUCGUCAGCUCGUGUCGUGAGAUGUUGGGUUAAGUCCCGCAACGAGCGCAACCCUCGUUCUAUGUUGCCAGCACGUUAUGGUGGGAACUCAUGGGAUACUGCCGGGGUCAACUCGGAGGAAGGUGGGGAUGACGUCAAAUCAUCAUGCCCCUUAUGUCUUGGGCUUCACGCAUGCUACAAUGGCCGGUACAAUGGGCUGCGAUACCGCGAGGUGGAGCGAAUCCCAAAAAGCCGGUCCCAGUUCGGAUUGAGGUCUGCAACUCGACCUCAUGAAGUCGGAGU
rnacentral:rRNA from 1 species